UCAAUCAACCUUCUCUUGAAAAUAUUUGCUUUUGACCAAUUAUUACUAAAUCAAUAAAACAUCCAAAGAAUAAUAAGAGCAUCUCAAGCAGAUGACGUAAAACAGCCGAAGUGCUCAAAAAACUGUUAUUUGGGCACUUGGCACAAAAACCAGCUCCAGCAGAAGAUGAUGUAUUUAGUGAUGCAAAAAAAUUUGAGCAGCCGCAAAUUUUGGCCCAAGUGCUGCAAAUAUCUACCGGCUUCCUCAAAACACAAACACAGCUGCGCGAACUGCAACUGCCACGCUGAAGUUUCCCCCGCCACCACCAAACAUCGAUUCCGGCUAGAUCUCGCCGUUGCAGCCACCGCCGCAAGUCCACCACCCGCCCCGGCCCAGCCGCCACUCCACCGCCCAUUCCCGUCGUUCCGAACGCCCGCAACAACCCCCGCCACCGUCGCUGGUUUAGGAUCCACCGAAGCCCGAUUUGCAGCAAUUCCGGCCGUCCCCCGCCCACCACCGCCCGAAAUGGCCGUGAAGUACCGAUGCUCGCCUUGGAGAUCCAUUAGUGGCCGCCGUGACCCCCACAUGACUGCCGCUACCACCGCAGGGCUACUGCUCCUUCAGAGCUCUCAGCUGUCAGACAACGAGGCGACGGUGGUUCCUGCCGCUACCCCCAGCUCGUCGACGUCACAAAGAUCGCUGCUCCUUCGGUGCACCAUCCCUGAGCCCAUUCCUAGCUACGGCGGCGACCACUGCUCCUUCGGUGCACCACCCCUGAGCCCAUUCCUAGCUGCGCCGACGACCGCUGCUCCUUCGGUGCCCACUAUGUGUUCGGCAAAAAGCCUCUAAGAUGAGUUCAUUUGAAUUCUCUUUGUGGGAUGAUUCCUCCUCCGAAGAGGAAUAUGAGUGGGCCGAAGGGGAGGAUACUACUUUGAUUAUGAUGGUGCACA